UUACUAGCUCUACAAUUUGGGAGUGUAGAAGAUGGAAUGACCUGACCUCAACCCCACUGAACACUUGUGGGAUCAUCUUGGAGAUGCUGUUGGUGCCAGUAUCACCAAAUUUGGAGAUUCGCUGCAAUUUACCUAAACCGAAAGCCCCAUGCACAUCGCUGCUUUCUGACUGGCUGAGCUGCGAUGGGGUCUGACGCAGCCUGCCAGACCACCACUGCACAUUGGAAGCAGCGGCCACCCACCUCAUGCAUGUUAAUGGC